CAGUGAUCACUUUAACGGCCGCGGUACCCUGACCGUGCAAAGGUAGCAUAAUCAUUUGCCUUUUAAUUGGAGGCUAGUAUGAAUGGUCUAACGAGAGUAAAACUGUCUCAUAUAUAUUUAAUAGAAAUUAACCUAAAGGUGCAAAGGCCUUUAUCUAUCAAAAAGACGAGAAGACCCUGUUGAGCUUUAAUCCAGCAUUUUCCCUAUAUUUAUAAAUUUAUUUUGCUCAUUAAAGAUUUUAAUUGGGGCGAUUAAGGAACACCUACGAGCUUCCUGAAAAAUUAAAUCGAUCCAGCAAUGCUGAUCAACAAAACGAGUUACCACAGGGAUAACAGCAUAAUUCUUCUUAAGAGCCCAUAUCGAAAGAAGAGAUUGUGACCUCGAUGUUGGACUAGGGUAACUAGAAGGUGCAGCCGCUUUCUUGUUUGGUCUGUUCGACCAAUAAUUCCCU
rnacentral:rRNA from 1 species